rnacentral:lncRNA from 1 species
CUCUCCUGCUGGUUGAGAACGCUUGCUAUCUCUGCGCUUCCUGUUGGCUGUUGUGAACAUCCUUUUUUCUUGUGGAUUUUGACAAUCCUUUGAAGUCAUGAAUAUACAAGAGCAUGAAUAAGAGAAGAAAAGAUGGAAGAUAAAAAGCAGAAGGAUGCAGAGCAUAUCAAUAGCUGGGACCUGAAUUAGCACCAUAUGGAGCAGAGUUCUCUUCCAGCUAACCAAGGGCACUUCAUCACCAAAGCAACAAGAUGUGGAGCAUGAGCAGUUCAACCUUUGAAGAUAACUCAGACUAAUUUGGCCAGCCUCUCCGUCUGAGGGUCUGAGAUCAUAAGAAGGUUUGGGAAAAGAGAAAGUUGUCAUUAAAUUGACAUCAAACAACCAGAAGACAACUUGGGAAAAAGCAGGAAUUUAUGUCCUUCAGCUUUUGCUAAGAUAUUCAUGCCAUGAUAUUUGGCCUAUAUUCCCUUCCAAUUGAGGACCUCUUCUCAUGGAGAAAAAAGUUAAGAACAAGAGAAGAAAACUGCCUUGCUCAAGUACACAUAGGAUAAAACUAAGUGACUGAGCUGGAAUACCAACAGCAGCCUAAUAACUUUAAUUCAGUGAUUUUUCCACCAAAGACUCAACAGCAACUGAUAAGUGAGUAGUACUUCUUAACUCUGGUAUGGUUUUUCUGGUGUUUAUUCCAUGCCUAGAUGUUUGCUGAUU